rnacentral:rRNA from 1 species
GACGAACGCUGGCGGCGUGCUUAACACAUGCAAGUCGAACGCUGAAGCACCAGCUUGCUGGUGUGGAUGAGUGGCGAACGGGUGAGUAAUACGUGAGUAACCUGCCCUUGACUCUGGGAUAAGCCCGGGAAACUGGGUCUAAUACUGGAUGCUACAUGUCACCGCAUGGUGGUGUGUGGAAAGGGUUUACUGGUCUUGGAUGGGCUCACGGCCUAUCAGCUUGUUGGUGAGGUAAUGGCUCACCAAGGCGACGACGGGUAGCCGGCCUGAGAGGGUGACCGGCCACACUGGGACUGAGACACGGCCCAGACUCCGACGGGAGGCAGCUGUGGGGAAUAUUGCACAAUGGGCGAAAGCCUGAUGCAGCGGCGCCGCGUGAGGGAUGACGGCCUUCGGGUUGUAAACCUCUUUCAGCAGGGAAGAAGCCACAAGUGACGGUACCUGCAGAAGAAGCGCCGGCUAACUACGUG